rnacentral:tRNA from 1 species
GGGGAUUUAGCUCAGUGAUAGAGCGCUUGCCUAGCAAGCACAAGACCCUGGGUUCGGUCCCCAGCUCCG